rnacentral:rRNA from 1 species
GAAUUUUAUAAAAUUAUUUAUAAAAUUUUAAAGUUAAAAUAUAAAUAAUUAUUAUUUAAUUGGGAGGAUUUUUAAAUUUAGCAAACUUUAAAUAAAAAUUUAAAUAUAAAUUAAUAAGUAAAUUUUUUUAGAAUGAUUAAAAAAUUAAAAAAUAAUUAAUUACCUUAGGGAUAACAGCGUAAUAUUUUUAAUAAGAUCUUAUUAAUAAAAAUGAUUGC